rnacentral:rRNA from 1 species
AGAGUUUGAUCCUGGCUCAGGAUGAACGCUGGCGGCGUGUCUAAGGCAUGCAAGUCGAACGCCCCGCCAUUCAUUAUAGAAAUAUAAUGUAGGGCGGGGAGUGGCAAACGGGUGAGUAACACAUUGAUAACCUACCCCAAAGUGUGGAAUAACUCCGCGAAAGCGGAACUAAUACCACGUACGAUCUUUUGGCAAAUGUCAAAAGAGGAAAGGUCCCGCAUUUGCGGGAUCGCUUUGGGAGGGGUCUAUGGCUUAUCAGCUAGUUGGUAAGGUAAUGGCUUACCAAGGCUAUGACGAGUAGCGGGCGUGAGAGCGCGACCCGCCUCAGUGGGACUGAGACACUGCCCACACUCCUACGGGAGGCUGCAGUCGAGAAUCUUCCCCAAUGGACGAAAGUCUGAGGGAGCGACGCCGCGUGCAGGAUGAAGGUCUUCGGAUUGUAAACUGCUUUUCUCUGGGAAGAACAUUGACCGUACCAGAGGAAUAAGAGGUUGCUAACUCUGUGCCAGCAGCAGCGGUAAUACAGAGACCUCGAGCGUUAUCCGGAUUUAUUGGGCGUAAAGGGUCCGUAGGUGGUUUUAUAAGUCUUCGGUUAAAUCUUUGGGCUCAACCCAAAGGCUGCCGGGGAAACUAUAAGACUUGAGACUGGGAGAGGCAAGCGGAAUUACCGGUGUAGUAGUAAAAUGCGUUAAUAUCGGUAAGAACACCAAAUGCGAAGGCAGCUUGCUAGAACAGUUCUGACACUCAGGGACGAAAGCGUGGGGAGCAAAACGGAUUAGAUACCCUGGUAGUCC